rnacentral:rRNA from 1 species
UGCCAGCCGCGCGGUAAGACGAGCUCUCCGAACGUUAUUCGGUAUCACUGGGCUUAAAGAGUUCGUAGGCGGUCUGGUAGGUGAGGUGUGAAAUCCCCCGGCUCAACCGGGGAACUGCGCUUCAAACCGCCGGACUUGAGGGAGACAGAGGUGGGCGGAACAGAUGGUGGAGCGGUGAAAUGCGUUGAUAUCAUCUGGAACACCGGUGGCGAAAGCGGCCCACUGGGUCUCAUCUGACGCUGAGGAACGAAAGCUAGGGUAGCGAACGGG